rnacentral:lncRNA from 1 species
AUUCUCCUGGAGUCUGUCAAGCUAUGUUUGAACUUGUUCCAGGACACUGGCUUUACUUUAUUUUUUUUCCUACCAAGAAGUAUGCUUGAUUAGACUGUAUUUUACUCUUUCUCUCUGUCUCUCUUUCUCUCUCUCUGUCUGUCUCUGUCUCUCUCUCUCUUUCUCCCUCUCUCUGUCUCUUUCUCUCUCUCUCUUCUUUCUUUUCUCUCUUCUUUCUCCUCUGCUUUUUCUUUCUUCUUUCUUCCUUCCUUUGGGACUUCUUUCUAGCAGAAGAUUGGCAACAAUGUUAUUUUCUGAUCAGUUCAGUAGUACAGUGCCUUUCAGUUUCCACAUGAGCAUUUCAGUGAAGAAAAGAAACUUUGCUACCUGGAACGGAAGACUGCUUAGUGAAGAUCCUGGUGUUCGUCACCUGACUGUUCUCAUCUUUCCAAGACUCCAGUGCUUCGGGAGCUCUUCCCUACUGAAGAGAAACAGACCUAGGGUAUCUCUUAGCUGCAUUACAAUUGGUGAAUGACAAGUAGACAUUUCCCUCUCUGGAUGAGGAAUGAUCAAUUUACC